CUAACUGCAUUUACUGUGGAGGCUACUCUGUCAACAAUGCCUGUAUGUUAACCUAAACCAUUUAGUGAAACCACAAGAUAAAUCUAUUAAAACAGUAGUGUUUUAGACUUCUCUAUAGAACUAAUGGGCACUCCUUUUAGUCAAAUGUAUUUGUACGUAUAUUGGGGAAAACUCACCAUUAGCUGAAUCUAAAAUCACAAUCUGAUUAAGUACAUAACUUAUUUCCUGGUGUAAGUUGAUCCAAUUGGAUUGCUUGCAUAUCAUUAAAUGGAGAAUUCGAACAACAAAAAACAUUGUUUAGAAUGUUUUUCUCCACUCACUAAAGGUUUUGUGUGGAUAGAAGGUGUUUGUUUUCAGGGUAUAUUUGUAUGUAAUGAAUUGCUUAUGUUUUUGUGGUGUCUACCUUGUGUGUAUUUAUUUAUCUACAGUAUUUCUGUGUGUGCUGCUGGUAUUGCAAGGCAGUCAGCAGCCUCACAGUGGACUGGAGAGGGGUGGACUACAUGAAGAGUGGGGCUCACUCAGGACUGGCCUGUUCAAGUAGGGAGGCAGGACCGGGACUGAGACCACCUUACACUGCUCAGCCCCCCCCACCCACCCUAACCAUCAUACCCCCCACCAGCACCCCUCCUCCACUCCCGACACACUCACACUCUCCCUUGCCCUGUGCCUGUCUCUCUCCAUUCUACCAAGCAGCCAGCCAGACCUCUCUUCUGCCCUGUCGACAUCCCUCGAGUGUUCCACGCCUUUCUCCCUCAGCCUCCUCAGCCGUGCUCGUCUGCCCUCGCCUCCGCUGACGGUCCAAGUCUAUCUACAACUGCAACAAGUUCCCUGGGACUUUUUCAGAAACUCUUUCCUCAAUACCUUUUUUUCUUUUUGCUACCUCCCUUGAGACGCCAGUGCGGGUUGUGCUGUGUGAUAGGGUCUAGUGUUGCUCUUCGCCUUCGGGGUCUCUGUACGCUGUUGACCAGAGGAGAAGACUACUUGUCACCAUGAUCAAAGUUCAGCUGCUGCUCUUGCUGGGCCUGGUCGGCCCCUUCUGUGCCGUCGCACGCGCAAGCACACUGGUGACACCAUUAGACAGGGUGUCAGAUACCCCUGCUGCCACCGAUACCCUCGAAGAAGGCGCCACCGAUGCCCCCAAGACUGCGGCCGAUGAGGUCGUAACGAAAGCCCCUGCCACCGAUAAACCCGUCACUACUCAGGCCGAUGAGGCUGCCCCGAAGGUGACAGAGGCCGCUUCCACGGAGACCGAGGCCACUGAGGCUGCCGAGCAGGAGGCGGCUACAACGGAGGCCCCUGCUGUCGCCACCACGGCCCCGGCAUAUCCCAAAGCCACGGCAGCUGCAGAGGCUGAGGAGGAGUUGGUGGUGGAGGAGGAGGGCACUGGCUCUGGACAAGUGGUGGGUAUUGUGAUUGGCGCAUUGGUGGCAGUGAUCAUUGUCAUCGCCGUGGUGAUCGCCUUGGUGAGGAGAAUGGGCAAAUACUCGUAAGUACUCGUAAGUUUUUUUAUCUCUGCAUCCAGUAUGAGAGAAGUUAGAGGUAGUUUAGCAAGCCAAUGCUAACUAGCUUAGCGCAAACACUGAAAGUCUUCGGGAUCAGUUAGCAUCCGUCAUACUGGACGCAGAGACAUAACAUUUGCCAUCACAGGUUGGUGGCACCUUAAUUGGGGAGGAUGGGCUCGUGGUAAUGGCUGGAGUGGAAUGGUAUCAAAUACGUCAAAUACAUGGCUUUCAUGUGUUUGAUGCCAUUCCAGCCAUUAUUAUUAGCCGUCCUGCCCUCAGCAGCCUCCACUGUUUGCUAUCCACGAGUUCAUCUGACUCUGGGGAAGUAGAUAAAGGGCUUCAUUGCCAAAAUACUAUGGUGAAGUGGGUGCAAUGGGUAUUACGAAGCACAUGGUUUAAUAGAUAAAACAACCUGCAUCACCUUUCAACCAUAACACAUUUGAAUCAUAGAUUCAAAUAGAAGUGUCUGUAUUCCUUUAAAAAAUAAGUUUUGGCCUCCCGAGUGGCGCUGUGGUCUAAGGCACUGCAUCGCAGUACUAGCUGUGCCACUAGAGAUUCUGAGUUCCGAGUCCAGGCUGUCGCAGCCGGCCGGUAAUUUUUUUAAUUUAUUUAUAGACGUUUUAAAUGGGAACAAGAAGUGUCUUCCAAUAGAGGACACGACAGCUGCUGUACUCCUUACCACACACCUUUUCCUCUGAAAAUAUUGUUAUAUUUGGGGAUGUGCUUGCCUGCUAACAGGGAACAUUUUUUUAUGCCAUAGGGCUGCUGCUGCUGCUAAGAAAAAGGCUGCCACAAAAGAGAGCAUCUUGGUUUCUGUAAUUUUCUCUGAUUGUUUUCCCAGUUAAUCAUCUUAACCCCAUGACUCUCUGUGGUCCAAAGUCACAGACACAAAACAAAUGAUGCGUCUCAUAUUGAACCCUAUUCAUUUUAUAGGGCCCUAGUCAAAAGUAGUGCUCCAUUAAGGGGAAUAGGUGCUAUUUAGGAUGCACCCUUUGUGUCUGUCCGUCGCCGAUCGACAGGCUGUUGGUUGCUACUGCUCUCUGAGACAUCCACUCAUGGGCCAAUGAGCCAUCAGGCAUUGUUCAUUCAGUGAAACAAGUGGCUUUAUUUGCACUUCAAUUUCAGUCAAAAGGCUCAUGUAUGGACUUAGUGGGUCCAUUGACAAAUGGUUUCCCAGCUGUUUGGCUUUACAUCAGUUCUAAUUGAUUAUGCUGGCUGUCUCAAUGGCAUAAUGGUUUGAAGCAGAGUAGCAACUCAAGGCUGUCAUCUUGAAUGUGUUAUCCUGAUAACUAAUUCAAAGAGAUUUGUUGUUGGUCCGUUUUGAAACACUUUUGUUUUUUAUUGUACCAACUUCACCUAAACUGAGUAAAAUGUAUUAAAUAAAUACCAUUUUAAGUAUGUUUCUCCUUUAAACCAUUCAAAACUAACUAUAUCCUUAUACAAGCCGAAUGGUUGUAGUGCCCAUAACUAAGAUAACAUGCAGUAUAUGAGUGACUUUUGAAUUAAUUCAGUUACAAUCACCCAUGUUUUUAUUUCCUCAUUUUCGGGUCACUGGUGACUCCCCCUACGAAUUAUGACGUUUCAUGAAAAAUGUACUAAGAGAACAUAAUUUUAUGUGCUGUGGUAUCAUUAAAAUCAUAAACCAAGCAACUUUUUAGAUAUAAUUUAUCCAAACCAUUUUUUCAAUCAUCUGAAAUGUGUGAGCAGAUUUUGUUUGAGUGUUGGCCUGUGUGUUUUACUCUUUCUCCUUCUCUCUUCAUCCCUCAGCCCCUGAGGAGAAAGGCUGCCAGACAGGAAGUCCCCAAAAUGUUCUGGCAAUUCUGAACUGCUGAACUACGUAAUUUCCUGUCAUUAAACAAGCAUGCUACCAGCACUAACCUAACCAAGAUCUUGUACUGUUGCCAAAAGGAGGGGGAGGUGUGGGGGGAGAAGAAUGUUUCUCUCCCAACCCCCAGACAGAGCCAUUGAUAUCAAUGGUCCUGCCCAACCACACAACAACCCUCCACACCGAUAACCAAACGGGGGGGGGGGGGGGUGACCCCUCACUGACAUCCACAGUGACCCACAGGAUGUCAGUAAAUUUCAGGAUUUUUCAUGUGUUUGUAAAAAGAAAGGAAGUAAGGGAUUAUUUAACUUGUGGUAGAAAACGCUCUCUUAUGCAGUGGUGUGUACAUUAAUUCCAAUUUGCAUUUGAGUUGAAGACGACCUAAAAACACGACACAAAAGAAACAGAAAAUAAAUAUAAAAAUAAAAAGUUGAAUACAGAAGGGGAAAAAAGGCGGAAGAAAAUGUGGUGAAUUUAAUAGGGUGUAUAUACCAUGCAAAGGGACUACAGUUAUUACUUGAUUAUAUGUUGCAGUUGCUCACUAUAGCAUUCAGUUAAUGGAACAUUGCAAAGCAGCCAAAAACAUCCACAUAGUAUUUUCUCACCUUAACACCUAGCCAAUGAGUCCCUACCUACCAAAAUGUUCAACAACUAUAUGAAGCACUGUAUGCAGAAGUUGUUUCGACAUUGUGCUCAUGUUCUGAGGGUUAGCGAGGGGCUAAUGAAAAGACGCCUCAUUUGCAAGUGUAACGUGACAUUCGCCAGCUUUAACACUGACAUAUAAAAACCUAAUACAGAUCUGUGAAAUUUUGCAGAAGGGUUUGUGCCACUGUCUCUGGUAUUCCCUGGAUAGUUUGGAGAUUUUACUUUUGAAGUGCAUUAAUGUGAAUUAAGUACUUUAACUGUCACCCAUUCCAAUAGGACAGCUUUGACGACUUCAGGUUUUCACAAAAUCAUGUGUUACAUAUACAGGUAGAAGUCAUCAGCCCCCAUUCUGCUAGCAUUGUCCUUUACAAUGUAUUCACUGUACUUCUGCUUACUUUAGUUUGGAUGGAGUAUACCAAGCAAACACACACAAUCUUUAAAUACAGGUUCCCCCCUGAAUGCAUACAAAGGAUGUUUUGACUUCCAUGAUUGCACCCAGUUUUAGGCACAUUUUCUUCAUAAUCGUUAGUGGAUAAUGGGUGUAAACAUUAUUCAGUCUCAGCUUAGCUCCGCUUGCUUUAAGAACUCCGUUAAUAAGUGCACUGAAUGAGUGAUGACAAUUGUUUAAUGGAUGCGCUUUAGACACUGCAAUCGUUUGCAACGAUGUUUGUUUCUGCUUUUGCUCCAUAUUAUCAAAUCUAGGUCUUUCAUUUUACUUGUCAGAUUUUUUUUUUGUCCUUUUAUUUAAUUGCAGUGUUUUUGUUCAUACUGUUUCAAUAAACAAGUGAAAACACUCCAAAUAUACACUGGCUUGAGACAUGUUUUUAUUUAUGUGUGUUGGUAGAAUUCAGACAUUGUAUUGUCUUUGUUGCUCCAUUGUUUUUUAGCUGUUGCUUAUCAAAUCAAGUUUCCAUGACACUGUCUAAAGUCAGAUUCAAGUAAUUUCCCCCAAAAUCUUGACAAGCCAAACAAGAGGUGCUGACACAGGAAGUAAUUAAUUAGCUCAUGACUGCUUUUUACACCGAACUGUUUCCCCACAAUCUUUAGUGUAAAAUUAGCACACACCACUACCCAGCAUGCACUGGGGUAGAAGUCAGUGGCGAAAGCUGAUUGCUCCAGUCAGGUAAUGCACAAAAUUUCAACACCCCUCCACUGAAUCAAGACAAACUACGGCCAAAUGCGGUCCUGUAUGGACUGCCUGAGACUGCUGAGUCCGUUAACUCUCUCCGGCUGGGGUGUUUCUCUGACAGUUACGUGUGUUUUUUUUAUGUUGUGGCGUUUUUCGUACGGCACUGUUAACCUGGGGCAGCUCUCCAACAGUGAGCUGUGAG
rnacentral:lncRNA from 8 species